rnacentral:tRNA from 1 species
GGUUAUAUAGCUCAAUGGUAAAGCAAAUACUUCACAUAUAUGAAGCCCCUGGGCUUGAUCCCCAGUAUAUCCA